UACAGAGGUCUCAAGCGUUGUUCGGAUUCAUUGGGCGUAAAGGGUGUGUAGGUGGCGCCGUAAGUCGGGGUGUGAAAUUUCGGAGCUUAACUCCGAAACUGCAUUCGAUACUGCGGUGCUUGAGGACUGGAGAGGAGACUGGAAUUUACGGUGUAGCGGUGAAAUGCGUAGAUAUCGUAAGGAAGACCAGUGGCGAAGGCGGGUCUCUGGGACGGUACUGGACGCUGAGACGCGAAAGCGUGGGGAGCGAACAGG
rnacentral:rRNA from 1 species